rnacentral:rRNA from 1 species
AGUGGCGAACGGGUGAGUAACACGUGAGUAACCUGCCCUUGACUCUGGGAUAAGCCUGGGAAACCGGGUCUAAUACCGGAUAUGACCUGUCACCGCAUGGUGGUGGGUGGAAAGAUUUUUUGGUCUUGGAUGGACUCGCGGCCUAUCAGCUUGUUGGUGGGGUAAUGGCCUACCAAGGCGACGACGGGUAGCCGGCCUGAGAGGGUGACCGGCCACACUGGGACUGAGACACGGCCCAGACUCCUACGGGAGGCAGCAGUGGGGAAUAUUGCACAAUGGGCGCAAGCCUGAUGCAGCGACGCCGCGUGAGGGAUGAAUGCCUUCGGGUUGUAAACCUCUUUCAGCAGGGAAGAAGCGAAAGUGACGGUACCUGCAGAAGAAGCGCCGGCUAACUACGUGCCAGCAGCCGCGGUAAUACGUAGGGCGCAAGCGUUGUCCGGAAUUAUUGGGCGUAAAGAGCUCGUAGGCGGUUUGUCGCGUCUGCUGUGAAAGCCCGGGGCUCAACCCCGGGUCUGCAGUGGGUACGGGCAGACUAGAGUGCAGUAGGGGAGACUGGAAUUCCUGGUGUAGCGGUGAAAUGCGCAGAUAUCAGGAGGAACACCGAUGGCGAAGGCAGGUCUCUGGGCUGUAACUGACGCUGAGGAGCGAAAGCAUGGGGAGCGAACAGGAUUAGAUACCCUGGUAGUCCAUGCCGUAAACGUUGGGCACUAGGUGUGGGGGACAUUCCACGUUUUCCGCGCCGUAGCUAACGCAUUAAGUGCCCCGCCUGGGGAGUACGGCCGCAAGGCUAAAACUCAAAGGAAUUGACGGGGGCCCGCACAAGCGGCGGAGCAUGCGGAUUAAUUCGAUGCAACGCGAAGAACCUUACCAAGGCUUGACAUGGGCCGGACCGGGCUGGAAACAGUCCUUCCCUUCGGGGCCGGUUCACAGGUGGUGCAUGGUUGUCGUCAGCUCGUGUCGUGAGAUGUUGGGUUAAGUCCCGCAACGAGCGCAACCCUCGUUCCAUGUUGCCAGCGCGUAAUGGCGGGGACUCAUGGGAGACUGCCGGGGUCAACUCGGAGGAAGGUGGGGACGACGUCAAAUCAUCAUGCCCCUUAUGUCUUGGGCUUCACGCAUGCUACAAUGGCCGGUACAAUGGGUUGCGAUACUGUGAGGUGGAGCUAAUCCCAAAAAGCCGGUCUCAGUUCGGAUUGGGGUCUGCAACUCGACCCCAUGAAGUCGGAGUCGCUAGUAAUCGCAGAUCAGCAACGCUGCGGUGAAUACGUUCCCGGGCCUUGUACACACCGCCCGUCAAGUCACG